CUAAAGCGUAGCCAUCGGCUUUAUAUACAGCGCGCCCAUCGCCACAAAAAAUAAAAACAAAACACUGUGCACGAGCUAUGAUUAAUAGCAGGCAACUGCUACUCACGUUGUCGUUGCCACAGAGCAAAGGCAAACACUUGGAGACCGCGCGAUUCUCUUGCGAGUCACGUUCGCAGCGAAUGAAAAAAAAAAAAAAAAAACAGCUGUUGGCUGGAAGAAAGCCGGUCAGCUGUUCGCGCGGGUCGUGUUGCCAACUACAUUCAAUUUUAAAUUAAAUUUUCCAAUAUUUCAAAAGCAAAUAGAAAACCAAUUAAAGGUAUUUAAUUUAAAAUUAUAAUUUGAUAAGAAAUACUAUAUAAAUUUAAGGUUUGUUAAUUGCUAUAUGUAUAUAGUCUACACUUAUAAAAUGUUCGAUUUAAUUUCUGGCAAACAACGCAAAGCUCCAAUGAAUUCAUAUCAAUAGAAUUUUGAUUUGUUUAUAAAUUCAUAAUUUUUUCUCAUUUCGACAUUUGCUUAAGCAAAUACAUGCAAUACACUUUAUUAUGUAUGUUUCUAUUGAA